rnacentral:lncRNA from 1 species
AUUAAAAGCCGGGAACAGUCGGUCACAAAUAUUAUAAUUAAGGGAGUUAUGUGUCCGGCUUAUAAAGAACUUACUGAAAUGGAUAAGCAAUGCGUGCAUCCUAACAGAGGCGAAGAGAUGGGCCAAAGGCUUGAGUGCAGAGGUCACCUAUGGGGCGGGCAGUGUGCAGAACGGGGUGUCGGCCCGUGACCUUGAGCCUCACCUCCAGGACUUGCUGGUGUUGGCUGAGCAUCGUCCUCACGUGCACCCCGAGCACUCCAGCAGCCGCCAAAAAUCAUGCUUGAGGCCAAAACCACACGGAGACAGACGAGAGGUUGCUGAGAGCACCGUGCCCAAGCCGUGCCAGAGCCAGAAUACCAGACAGGGUGGCUGCGCCAGCACUCGCUUGUCAUCUCAGUCCUGGAGGCUGGCAGUGUGAGGUAUGGCUGCUCCGGAGGGAGCCCUCUCUCCUUGGCUUGCAGAUGGGCCUUCCCCGUGUGUCCUGCUCACCCCUCAUGGUGACCUCGUGUUACCUCAAUCACCUCUUGAAAGGCUCCAUCUCCAAAUACAGUGACAUUCUGGGGCGCUGGGGGGGGGGGGAGGGAGGGAGGGAAGGAAGGGGAAGAAACUGAGGUUUCUUCGUGGUCUGUCUUCCUCUGCAGACGGGCUGGAAGGAAGGAGACAUACAGCCAUUCUCAGACGGAGGGAUGACGAGGAGAUCGUGCUGCCAACCACACUUGUCUCUAAAGAGUGGCCAAAGGAAGUUCCCUAAGAGUAAGAAAUUAUGAUGGAAAAGGUCUCCUGGAACCUUAGGAAGGAGCCAAGAGCAUUGGCCUGGUAAAACCAGGGGUAAGUCCAUCAGACGAUCCUUCUCAUGAGGUUUCCAAAUCAUACUUGAUGGUUGAGGCCAAAACUGUUAACAGUAUGGGAUGUGGUGCUUACUAGAGUUGUCUGCCUGUCUCUCUGUCUUUCUCUCUCUGCUCCCAGUUGCAAAAGACACCCCUUCUUUUGUUUCCCCAUGCCCUAAUGAGACUCCCUUCUCACGACCUUGAAAGUGUCCUGAGCCCGAGGCAGGGGCCACUCUUCUGUCUCCCUAUAACUCCAUGACCCAUUUCUGGGUCCAGGGUGGUCUUAUGCCCACAGUCCCCUUAUACUUCUCUGUCUUUUGGAUCAUUUCUAGGUGGCAUUUCCUAACCCGGAGGAGAAAAGCUCGCCAAUUCAGCACGGCAGCUGGUGAAUCAACAAAUGCAGGCAUUUACUGAGACUUCUGUCCCCUCUGGGGAAGCACCCUGCUCCCAAUCCCUGAGCUUCCCGGGCUGAUUCCUCCCAGUGUGGUGGGGGUGGCUCAGGGCUGACCAGUCAUUGUGUCCUGGCCCCUGGCUGCAGAGAUCUGGAGAUCUGGUGGGGAAUCACCAGGGGACAGGA